rnacentral:tRNA from 1 species
CGGUCCGCCACCGGGCGGCAUGCCGGGACCGCCCGGCCCCGGCGGCAUCGGCGUGGUCUGCCCGUACGGAUCCUGGCCGUAUGGACCGG